GAAGCUGCGAAGAUGGCGGAGUAAGGCGUGCCGCUGCAAACUGGCCUCUGGGCCGGGGGCGAGCAGCCCCCGGGAGGCCGAGUGCAUCUGUUGGACCGUGCGAGGAGAAGAAAAAAAAUAUCGGCCAGAGGAGAGGAACUAACCGAACAUUCUUCCUCCCUACCUUAUAGAGGGGAGUGGUCAUCUACACUAAAGCAAAGUGUUAGGCGCGUCCGUGCGAAGAGACCACCAAACAGGCUUUGUGUUCCUUAUCACAGGAAGAAAAUUUUCCUUGACCUUUAGGUGCUUUUAUAUUCAUCUCAAAAACAAAAUUCUGAACUCAGGACUUGGCAAGCUGGAGUGAUGCGUGAUUUCUGCUCACUGCAGUCUCUCCCACCCGGGUUCAAGCGAUUCUCCUGCCUCAGCCUCCCAAGUAGCUAGGAUUACAGGCGCGCACCACCACGCUCAGCCUGAUUUCUAGGCUGAAAAGGCUGGGACUCAGGUACUUUCCCCAGUUGGGACUGAACUUUCUCAUCAGAGAAUGGGCCUCAGAAGCAAUGUUCCCAAACUUGUGGUUGGGUCAUCGUGGAAAAGAAACCUCAAAUAAGAAAAAUAAUUACAAUAAGAAAUGGAUUUUCUUUUUUCCCACAACAGUUAUACAUUAUAAAGAACAGACUGUCGUAGAAAACUGUCUUUGCUUCCAAAUCAGCAGAGGACCAUUGUAUGUAUUGUCAGGUCUUUAUAUAAGAGUGAAACCUUUAUUUAUGCUUCUUGUGAGUAGAGAAUAAAUUUUAAAACUAAUUAGAUGAAAUUAAGAACAGAGUAUUGGAACAUCUCUGUGUUUUCCGGAAUGUUUACUCAGGUCCAUGAAUGCUGUGAUGCUGGGAACUUAGGGAAGAUUCACCAAAAUUUGAGAGUGAUAAAAAUGGCCUAAAAUGGGAAAUGGUGAGCACUCUUAUUAUUAGUGAGAUUGGUCAAUCAGCCCAUUUGAAAUGGGUAAAAAAUACUUUCAGUAAAAUAAUUACAUAUUAUAUAUAAAAUAUUUCUUUUUUUGAGGGCAGCUACUGAGUGAUAAAAGCAUAGUAGAAAUCACUUUGGUUAAAAGUAACUCAAAUUUUUCUCUUAAGUAAUCUACCAACUUCCUGAUGUUUUUCUUUAAUAUUUUGGAACUGUUCAAGACAGAAUGGAGCCUACAUAUAUGGUGUUCCACUAGUAUGUUGAAAAUGUCAUAUCAUGGAGAAUGGAGACACCUUCCAGGUGUCUGUUAAACCCAUCUUCUCUGUGUACUUCUGGCAUCUUUUUUGGUAGGAUCAUUUGGCAGGGGGUAGAGUACCUGUACUUUUGGCACCAUUGAAACCAGCUCUGGCCCACUUGUUUGAAUAGCUAUCAGACUCAGCGUCUCUAUAUGCUUUAUAUACAGUUGAGAGAACCAGUGUUUAAUGCUCUUGAAAUUGUAUCUUCCAUGCUUCAGACCAGAUGCAUUUAACAAAAUGGAUAUAUUCCAGCUGUAGUUGCCCAGUGUUUACUUAACACAUCUACAUUUUUUUCUUGUCUAUUUUGGUCCCCUUGAUAGGAAAAGCUAUAAUUUUAGGCAGGACUAUACGUCGAUUUGUAGCCAUGCUUCCUUCCUUUCCCUUGCUCAUCCAUGUUAGCUGGCAGUUUUUCUUUUGAAAAGUUAAAACCGGGAUAUGUGCAAUAGAAAUAUAUAUAUAUAUAUGUAUAUUUUAAUACUUGUGGACAAAUGUUACAAGUUGUUUAAGAACAACAAAAUCACCAAUGUCUUCCAUUUUGAGAUGUGUAUAGUUUUGUAAGCAUUAGUGCUUGGUAGCAUAUUGUAGUGCCAUGUUAGGGGUUAGUGCAUGAGUCUAGUGAUUUUAAACUUCAGGAUGAAUUAUUGAUAAUAACAAAUAGUGUAAAAAGAGUGGAAAAUCUAAACCUUUUCUUUUUCCAUAAUGUCUAAAUCUGUUAUAUUCUUCCUGGGGAAAAGAGAUUAAGGCCCAAAAGACUCAUUUAUGAAUAGAAAUGUGGGGUCAAAAUCUGAGAUACUAUAUUUGAGGACAUUUCAGCUUUCCAUAAGGUAUCUGGAAACCAGCUGUCUUUGUGUCUUAUGAAACCUCAAGUCAAAAUGAGACCGCAUUUAAUUAUUCUGCUUUGCUCUUUUUUUGGGGUGGGGGGGAGAUAGAGUUUCACUCUGUCACCCAGGCUGGAGUGCAGUGGCACAAUCUUUGCUCACUGUAACCUCUGCCUCUUGGGUUCAAGUGAUUCUCGUGCCCCAGCCUCCCGAGUAGCUGGGACUACAGGCACGUGCCACCACGCCCAGCUAAUUUUUAUAUUUUUAGUAGAGACGGGGUUUUGCUGUGUUGGCCAGGCUGGUCUCAAACUCCUGACCUCAAGUAAUCCACCUGGCCUGCUCUUUUCAUGUCUUAACAUGGCAUGUCUUUUAGUUUCAUUAUUUUCCUACUCCUUGUAUGUCAAGAAAUUACAUUUUGCAUGUCUUAUGGAGAUGCUGUUAAUUGCUUCAGUGAGUGCUUUUCUAAUCUGCAGACCAUUUACAUUUCCUGUUUGCAGCAUGCUGUGUGCAAACACUCAGUAAUUUGGAGUAUUCAAUUAUUUGUUAGGGCUCUUCCUAUUUCCAAAUGUGCUGAAUUGUCUAUUGAUGGGAUUUUCAGAUCUUUUCAUGAGAACUGGAAAUGUAGCUGGGUGGCACCUACCUAGGUUGCUACGUAGUGAGUAGACUUUCUCUUGGGUAUAGUAAGCCUCAGACAGCUUUCACUUUUAUCUACUUUACUUGUGGAAAUAAAACAGUCAUUUUGUUCUGAAAGAAUAAGAUAGCUUUCUGUAGAGAAGGAAUUCCUACCUCUAAAAGCUGCCUUGAGAACUCAGAACUGGCAGUUUUCUGAGGUGAUUUUUAAAUUUCAGUAUUAGGGAGAGUCCAGCAUUUGCUGACACAGAUUCUACAUAACUAAUGUAUGAUAGCAAAUGCAAAACUAUUAUAAUGUGGUGUAUCUUGCGCAUACACAGGUUAGAACAAGUAGACUCUGGCAGCAGAUCUCCAGAGACCCAAGUUUAGGUUCUCAUAGUGUAUUUGAAGUAGUUAUACUCCUGGCUUAAGUAGUUUAGUGCCUGGGAGAAUCCAUUACUGAAAA
ensembl:lncRNA OIP5-AS1 OIP5 antisense RNA 1